UGGGCCCACAUGCAGUGAGGGAUGUUAACUUUUAAUUGGUCGAUAGUAAGUGAGGAAUUUCAUUGAUAAGGUGACAGGAGUAUUUUGAGUGUUCGGCUAAGCGUAUCGUGUACAGCAUUUUGAUACCAGCACUGUGUUUGCAAUUUAGUGAAGGAUUAAAAACCGGCAACGUGUUUAACCAUAAUGCGCCGUGCAAAAAGAGUACAUUUACGGUUUUCGUGAGGAAUAAACGGUUGAGCGAAACGACCGGUCUCUACUGGGAGUCGAUGAUUCCCCGUUCGGAAGUGCAGCAUGCUUAGUCUUAAGGACUCAGGAGCGAUUUCAUUAGCAUUCCUAGUUUCGGAGAAAUAUGGGACUUGAACAUGUUCACAGUGCGUUUUAGAGGAGGAGCACGGUAUCUUGAGACAUCGAUCACAGAAUGCCACAUUCCCCGUGUGUCCCUAGACGAUAGAGGAUUGGAUCAGGUUGAUGUUGCUGUCAGAUGGCGCUUUGUCUUCGGUGCGGUUGGUUGGAGACUUUGAAGACAUGCUGGACAUGGCUGGGUGAACCUUCAUCAAGUAACCCGGUUCUGAAUUUGUGACGCGCGCGGGCCUCUUCCCCUUGCUGGCAUGUGACGCGUCGCCCGAGUGAGUGUUUGCGGAACGCUGGGCCUCCGGUGUGGUUUCCUGGUCUGAUCCGUCCGAUGCGCUGUCGAUGUGCUCUGGUUCCUGUGUGUGCUUGCCCGGCUCAACACAUGACUCGCUCAAUUCGUGGGAAAUUCCGGAUGGAAAUUGGUUGUGGCGCUGCUCUGAGCGCGCCUUGACCCCUGAUUCCUGUGUGACCUGGUGCGCGUCAACGCAUGCUUUUGCCGCUUGUGGGGGUAGGCACGUCGUUAGUUGCUGGAACCGCUGUUCCACAUGUGCCGUCACAUCGGCGUUUCUAGAACCACGGAGCGUGCUAUGCCAAUCUGGGAAAAAGUUAUUUACUGUUUCUCCGCGGAUCAUCAGGGCAGCAGGGAAGACCAGUUUGACGUUUUGAGCACCGUAUUUAUCUCGCGCCGCCUUGAACUCUGGCCACAGUUGCUUACGGGCGUCGCUUAUUUCGCGGGGAUAGUCACGAGAUAUACCAAAAGAUGUUCCACGUAACAGCUUUGCGUUGUCCAUUAUGGCGUUCACAUCACGCAGGUCUGUGAAGGUAACAAGGAUGGCCCUACAACGUGGUGGUCCUUGGGACCGGGCUACAAUGCGCCGGCCUAUCCGACGAGCCUCGACAAUUCCAACUCUUGCAGAGUCCAUAUUUAGUUUGUUGUUGAUGAACUCGCGGAUGAUGCGGAGAGGGUCUUCGUUGCCACCGCUUUCAGACUCGUGAUGGCCGCUAAAUAUCAAGUUAGUUCGAAGAGAACGGGCUUCCAUGUCAAUGCUUUUAUACUCUAGAAGCUUCAGACGGGCCUCCGUAAUGUCGUGAAUUGCUUGUGAGCGGAUAAAGUUUUGGUUCAAGCAUUCAAAUUUAUGAUUGAAUGAGUUAUUUGAAGAGAUCAUAUCAAACAGACAUGUCAGUUUGUGCUCAAUGUUCAUUUCAGAAAACUGUUCGCGUGUUGUUUUUACAUUUUCGUGUACGCUAAAGUCACCUUGGAGUGGGUGGGGUGAGUCCUUCGUGGACGAACUGCUAGUUGCCCGGCGUCUUCGUUUAGUUUCUCUUGUUUGCCAACUGUUUUCGUCACUUAUUGGGGCAUAUUUACCUCUGUACUGGCUUGACAUGGUUUCUGUGUACCUCUUGAGUUUAAAUAAAGUUUGAAGAUGUUAUAA